AUUUAUAUAGUUUAAAGUAAAACAUUACAUUUUCACUGUAAAAAUAAAUUUUAUUUUAUAAAUU
rnacentral:tRNA from 1 species